rnacentral:rRNA from 1 species
GAUGAACGCUGGCGGCGUGCCUAACACAUGCAAGUCGAACGGAGAUUACGGACGGAAGUUUUCGGAUGGAAGCCUGUAAUUCUUAGUGGCGGACGGGUGAGUAACGCGUGGGCAACCUGCCCUAUACAGGGGGAUAGCAGCUGGAAACGGCUGGUAAGACCGCAUAAGUCGGUUAAAUCGCAUGAUUUGAUCGGGAAAUGAGCAAUCAGGUAUAGGAUGGGCCCGCGUCCGAUUAGCCAGUUGGCAGGGUAAAAGCCUACCAAAGCGACGAUCGGUAGCCGGACUGAGAGGUCGGACGGCCACAUUGGGACUGAGACACGGCCCAAACUCCUACGGGAGGCAGCAGUGGGGGAUAUUGCACAAUGGAGGAAACUCUGAUGCAGCGACGCCGCGUGAGUGAAGAAGUAUUUCGGUAUGUAAAGCUCUAUCAGCAGGAAAGAUGAUGACGGUACCUGACUAAGAAGCCCCGGCUAACUACGUG